rnacentral:rRNA from 1 species
CCUACGGGAGGCAGCAGUGAGGAAUCUUGGUCAAUGGACGAGAGUCUGAACCAGCCAAGUAGCGUGAAGGAUGACUGCUCUAUGGGUUGUAAACUUCUUUUAUAUGGGAAUAAAAUGUUCCACGUGUGGGACUUUGUAUGUACCAUAUGAAUAAGGAUCGGCUAACUCCGUGCCAGCAGCCGCGGUAAUACGGAGGAUCCGAGCGUUAUCCGGAUUUAUUGGGUUUAAAGGGCGCGUAGGUGGAUUGUUAAGUCAGUUGUGAAAGUUUGCGGCUCAACCGUAAAAUUGCAGUUGAAACUGGCAGUCUUGAGUACAGGAGAGGUGAGCGGAAUUCGUGGUGUAGCGGUGAAAUGCGUAGAUAUCGCGAAGAACUCCGAUUGCGAAGGCAGGUCACUGGACUGCAACUGACACUGAGGCUCGAAGGUGUGGGUAUCAAACAGGAUUAGAUACCCUUGUAGUC